rnacentral:tRNA from 1 species
AAGUAAGAAGUAAAUAUUACAUUUAGUUUCGACCUAAAAGUUUGAUGCAAUGCAUCCUUACUUA